UACGUAGGGGGCAAGCGUUGUCCGGAGUUACUGGCGUAAAGCGCACGCAGGCGGUCUCUUAAGUUUGGAGUGACAGUUGGUGGCUUAACUGCCAAAGUGCUUCGAAAACUGAGAGACUUGAGGGCUUCAGAGGGACACGGAAUUCCGGGUGGAGUGGUGAAAUGCGUAGAGAUCCGGAGGAACACCAAAGGCGAAGGCAGUGUCCUGGGGAGUACCUGACGCUCAGGUGCGAAAGCCAGGGGAGCGAACGGGA
rnacentral:rRNA from 1 species